AAUAUCUUGCAAUUUUCUAUAAUAGGAUUAUUCCCAUGCACACACGUGCCGUACAUUAUUCUUGUUCUUCAAGGUUCGAAUUUGAUUUUCUUACAUAUGGUCCAUUAUUCAUUCUCUUUAAUACAUAACACAUACUUUUGAUCAAAACGGUACACAACUUCAUUUCUAAAAAAGAAGAUCACUAUUUGGAUAAUCAAAAGCUUAUCACUUCACCCUUAUUAAAGAAACAAC
rnacentral:lncRNA from 1 species